rnacentral:rRNA from 1 species
CUGGCUCAGGACGAACGCUGGCGGCGUGCUUAACACAUGCAAGUCGAACGGAAAGGCCCUGCUUUUGUGGGGUGCUCGAGUGGCGAACGGGUGAGUAACACGUGAGUAACCUGCCCUUGACUUUGGGAUAACUUCAGGAAACUGGGGCUAAUACCGGAUAGGAGCUCCUGCUGCAUGGUGGGGGUUGGAAAGUUUCGGCGGUUGGGGAUGGACUCGCGGCUUAUCAGCUUGUUGGUGGGGUAGUGGCUUACCAAGGCUUUGACGGGUAGCCGGCCUGAGAGGGUGACCGGCCACAUUGGGACUGAGAUACGGCCCAGACUCCUACGGGAGGCAGCAGUGGGGAAUAUUGCACAAUGGGCGGAAGCCUGAUGCAGCAACGCCGCGUGCGGGAUGACGGCCUUCGGGUUGUAAACCGCUUUCGCCUGUGACGAAGCGUGAGUGACGGUAAUGGGUAAAGAAGCACCGGCUAACUACGUGCCAGCAGCCGCGGUGAUACGUAGGGUGCGAGCGUUGUCCGGAUUUAUUGGGCGUAAAGGGCUCGUAGGUGGUUGAUCGCGUCGGAAGUGUAAUCUUGGGGCUUAACCCUGAGCGUGCUUUCGAUACGGGUUGACUUGAGGAAGGUAGGGGAGAAUGGAAUUCCUGGUGGAGCGGUGGAAUGCGCAGAUAUCAGGAGGAACACCAGUGGCGAAGGCGGUUCUCUGGGCCUUUCCUGACGCUGAGGAGCGAAAGCGUGGGGAGCGAACAGGCUUAGAUACCCUGGUAGUCCACGCUGUAAACGGUGGGUACUAGGUGUGGGGUCCAUUCCACGGGUUCCGUGCCGUAGCUAACGCUUUAAGUACCCCCCUGGGGAGUACGGCCGCAGGCUAAAACUCAAGGAAUGACGGGGCCCGCAAAAGCGGCGGAGCAUGCGGAUUAAUUCGAUGCAACGCGUAGAACCUACCCUGGGUCUGACAUGGAUCGGGAGUGCUCAGAGAUGGGUGUGCCUCUUUUGGGGUCGGUUCACAGGUGGUGCAUGGCUGUCGUCAGCUCGUGUCGUGAGAUGUUGGGUUAAGUCCCGCAACGAGCGCAACCCUUGUUCACUGUUGCCAGCACGUUAUGGUGGGGACUCAGUGGAGACCGCCGGGGUCAACUCGGAGGAAGGUGGGGAUGACGUCAAGUCAUCAUGCCCCUUAUGUCCAGGGCUUCACGCAUGCUACAAUGGCUGGUACAGAGAGUGGCGAGCCUGUGAGGGUGAGCGAAUCUCGGAAAGCCGGUCUCAGUUCGGAUUGGGGUCUGCAACUCGACCUCAUGAAGUCGGAGUCGCUAGUAAUCGCAGAUCAGCAACGCUGCGGUGAAUACGUUCCCGGGGCUUGUACACACCGCCCGUCAAGUCAUGAAAGUUGGUAACACCCGAAGCCGGUGGCCUAACCGUUGUGGGGGAGCCGUCGAAGGUGGGACUGGUGAUUAGG